CGGCGGACGGGUGCCUAAUGGCCUAGGAAUCUGCCUGGUAGUGGGGGACAACGUUUCGAAAGGAACGCUAAUACCGCAUACGUCCUACGGGAGAAAGUGGGGGAUCUUCGGACCUCACGCUAUCAGAUGAGCCUAGGUCGGAUUAGCUAGUAGGUGAGGUAACGGCUCACCUAGGCGACGAUCCGUAACUGGUCUGAGAGGAUGAUCAGUCACACUGGAACUGAGACACGGUCCAGACUCCUACGGGAGGCAGCAGUGGGGAAUAUUGGACAAUGGGCGAAAGCCUGAUCCAGCCAUGCCGCGUGUGUGAAGAAGGUCUUCGGAUUGUAAAGCACUUUAAGUUGGGAGGAAGGGCAGUAAGUUAAUACCUUGCUGUUUUGACGUUACCAACAGAAUAAGCACCGGCUAACUUCGUGCCAGCAGCCGCGGUAAUACGAAGGGUGCAAGCGUUAAUCGGAAUUACUGGGCGUAAAGCGCGCGUAGGUGGUUUGGUAAGAUGGAUGUGAAAUCCCCGGGCUCAACCUGGGAACUGCAUCCAUAACUGCCUGACUAGAGUACGGUAGAGGGUGGUGGAAUUUCCUGUGUAGCGGUGAAAUGCGUAGAUAUAGGAAGGAACACCA
rnacentral:rRNA from 1 species